rnacentral:tRNA from 1 species
GGCAUGGUGGCUCAGUGGUUCGAGCGCCCGCCUCAUGAACGGGAGGUCGUGGGUUCUAACCCGGCCGAGUCA